rnacentral:rRNA from 1 species
GGAUAAACGCUAGCGGCGUGCCUUAUGCAUGCAAGUCGAGCGGUCUAUCGAAAGAUAGAUAGCGGCAAACGGCUGAGUAACACGUAAGUAACCUAUCCCAAAGUGGGGAAUAACCUGCCGAAAGGUGGACUAAUGCCGCAUGUGGUAAUGGGGUUAGUUCCUCAUUAUUAAAGCUUACGGGCGCUUUGGGAGGGGCUUGCGUCCUAUCAGCUUGUUGGUGGGGUAACGGCCUACCAAGGCGACGAUCGGUAGCCGACCUGAGAGGGUGACCGGCCACACUGGAACUGAAACACGGUCCAUACACCUACGGGUGGCAGCAGUAGGGAAUAUUAGUAAUGGGCGAAAGCCUGAACUAGCAACGCCGCGUGUGCGAAGAAGGCCUUCGGGUCGUAAAGCACUUUUUGAGAGGAUGAGGAAGGACGGUACUCUCAGAAUAAGUCUCGGCUAACUACGUGCCAGCAGCCGCGGUAACACGUAGGAGGCAAACGUUAUCCGGAUUUACUGGGCGUAAAGCGCGUGUAGGUGGUUUGGUAAGUAGGGCGUGAAAGCUCCUGGCUCAACUGGGAGAGGACGUUCUAAACUGCCAAGCUUGAGGAUGGUAGAGGGAGGUGGAAUUCCGGGUGUAGCGGUGGAAUGCGCAGAUAUCCGGAGGAACACCAGUGGCGAAGGCGGCCUCCUGGACCGCUCCUGACACUCAGACGCGAAAGCUAGGGUAGCAAACGGGAUUAGAGACCCCGGUAGUCCUAGCCCUAAACGAUGUAGACUUGGCGUCGGUGGUUUAAUCGCCAUCGGUGUCGUAGCUAACGCGAUAAGUCUACCGCCUGGGGACUACGGCCGCAAGGUUAAAACUCAAAGGAAUUGACGGGGACCCGCACAAGCGGUGGAGCAUGUGGCUUAAUUCGAUGCAACGCGAAGAACCUUACCUGGACUUGACAUGCUGGUAGUAGAAUCCUGAAAGGGAGACGACGGUAGCAAUACCGAGCCAGCACAGGUGCUGCAUGGCUGUCGUCAGCUCGUGCCGUGAGGUGUUGGGUUAAGUCCCGCAACGAGCGCAACCCCUGUGGUUAGUUGCCCUUAUUCAGUUAGGCACUCUAGCCAGACUGCCUGUGAUAAGCAGGAGGAAGGUGGGGAUGACGUCAAGUCAGUAUGGUCCUUAUGUCCAGGGCUGCACACGUGCUACAAUGACCGGUACAGAAGGAAGCAAGGCCGCGAGGCGGAGCUAAUCCCCAAAACCGGUCUCAGUUCGGAUUGGAGUCUGCAACCCGACUCCAUGAAGCUGGAAUCGCUAGUAACGGCGCAUCAGCUACGGCGCCGUGAAUACGUUCCCGGGUCU